UACAGAGGUCCCAAGCGUUGUUCGGAUUCAUUGGGCGUAAAGGGUGCGUAGGCGGCGCGGUAAGUCGGGUGUGAAAUCUCGGAGCUUAACUCCGAAACUGCAUUCGAUACUGCCGUGCUUGAGGACUGGAGAGGAGACUGGAAUUUACGGUGUAGCGGUGAAAUUCGUAGAUAUUCGCAAGAACACCAGUGGCGAAGGCGGCUCACUGGCCCGAUACUGACGCUGAGGCACGAAAGCGUGGGAGCAAACAGG
rnacentral:rRNA from 1 species